CUCAACAGACAUUCUAGGCUUCAGAGUGACAUCCAGACAAAGUGACAAUCCCGGCAUCAUAUUAUAUAGAUAUGUUUGUGUCUAAUAGGGUUUUUUUGUGUGUGUGUUAACUUCCUGAAUAACUUGCAGGAAAAACAAGGUUUCCAGUGGGGGAAGAAAGGGUCUGAUCACCUGGAAUCAAUGGGAAGAUUGAAGCCUUAAUAUAUUUAUCAAGAUAUAUAUUCUUCUUUCUUUUUCCUUUAUGCCGCUUUUCCCAGUGCGGGUCCCGGCGGCAGCAUGGAGAGUUGGAAGGACCAGACAUCCUUUUCCUCCACAACAGGUUCCAGCUCCUUCUUGGGGAUUCCCCAGCAUUCCUAGGACAGUCCAAAGAUAUAAUCCCUCCAGCGUGUCCUGGGUCAGCCUCAGGGCCUCUGCCCAGUGGGAUGUGCCUGGCAUAGUUCCAGGAGGCAUCCUUAUCAGAUGCCCCAACCACCUCAACUGGCUCCUCUCGAUCUGGAGGAGCAGCAGCUCUACUCCAAGACCCUCCUGAAUAGCGAAGCUCCUCACUCUGUCUCGGAGAGUAAGCCCAGCCACCCUGCGGAGAAACCUCAUUUCCGCCGCUUAUACCCGCAAUCUUGUCCUUUUUGCUCAUUACCCAAAGUUCAUGACGUUAAGUGAGGAUGGGGAUGUAAAUUGACCUGUAAACUGAGAGCUUCAUCCAAGAACUCAGUCCCGCUUCACCACCCAGGAUCGGUAGAGCAUCCACAUCACUGCCACCACUGCACCAAUCUGCCAGUUGAUCUCAUGCUCCCGCUUGCCAUUAUUUGUGAACAAGACCCCUAGAUACUUGAACUCAUCCACUAAGGGCAGCUGCUCCCCUUCAGCUGGAGAGAACAGUCCACUUUCUUCCAGGAAAGAACCAUGACCUCUGAUUUGGAGGUGCUGAUUCUCAUCCCAGCUGCUUCACACUCAGCAGCGAAAUGUUUGCAUACAUGUCAGAGAUCGCAGUCUGAAGAAGGAAGGACAACAUCAUCUGCAAAUAGCAGAAAUGCCACCUCUGAGUCCCCAUACUGGAUGCACUCCACAGCUUGGUUGUGCCUUGAUAUCCUGUCCAUGAAAAUCACAAACAGGAGUGGGGACAAGACAUACCCUUGGAGGAGUCCAGCGCCCACCUUGAACAAACUCAACAAUGCCAAGGAUACGAACACAACUCUCACUCUGAGAAUAGAGGCACCAGAUAGCACACACAAGUGGCACUGGCUCCUCAUGUUCCUGCAGCACUUCCCACAAGCCAUCUUGGGGAAUGCCAUAAAAUACACAUAUUCAAUGUGGCUGAGUUAACAUUACUCUUAACAACUGAGAAGCAGAGGGAGUACAAGACACCUGGCAAUCACUAAAGUAAAAUGAAAGGUAUUGUUUUGAAAAAUCUCAGGUGGUGUCAUCACGUGGGAACUGCGAGUCAGGAUUCUACUACUCUAUUCUUGACUCUGCCAGCAACUCACUGUUAGCCAAUCCAGUGUAGUACUACGCACUUUCUGUUUUGAAAAGGUCCCUCCAACAAAGAGAAGAAGAGGUAGCUUCAGUUCCUAGCUGUGCAACACACCUCCUGUGUCACCUUGGGCAAGUCAGUUUAUCUCUGCAUCUCAGUUCCCCACCUGAAAGCUUCCUUAAAGCAAACUGAUCAAGGAACUCCAAUGACACCUAAAGCCUGGAAACAAGAGAGACUGAGAGACCUAACUUGCACUUGUCAAUUUACUAUAACUAGUUUGAUAUUAAGGAUUAUGGUCCAGAUCUCUAAAAGUUUAUACACCUAAACUUUACACAUAAUACCUUCUGAGGAUCCAGGCCUAAGAAAAGAGUCUGUUCCCUCUAGCAUUUACUUUCAGACCUGGUAAGCAUUUGCAGGAUCAAACUCUAAUCCAUCUAUACUGCUGAGACAUCUCUUAUAAAUAGUAUUCUAGUAAGUGUCUCUGUCAAAACUGAGUAAUAUUUUAAUGGUAGAAAUGUGUACAUUAAUUAUGCACUUCAUCCAAUUCUCAUAUGUGGCAAUCUGGGUAAAACAACUCAGGGUUGAAUUUAAAUCCCACUUUAAGCCUUCAAAUAGGGUUUGAUAGUGCGUAUGCCUUGAGGGAGAUCUCUUCACAAGAGUAAAUUUCACUCAUACAGCAGAACAGGCCCUGCCCUCAAAUCAAGUUCUGAGCCAGGAUACAAUAGAAGAUAUAAUUAAACAGGAAAGAGGAUGGUUAAAGAAAACAGCAAUGAGAACAUAUGUUAACAUAGGCCAGCUAUACUGGUAGCUGAAUUUUCGUCUUUGUGUGUCAAGGUUAUAAGCUAUUAAUAGCAGUUGAAUGUGAUAAAUAUUGGAAGUGGCUGCCAGCUAUCUAUCUAUCAACUAUCGCUUGGCUUUUUGUAAAAAAUAGCACUCAGACUUGCAUGU